AUUGAACGCUGGCGGCAGGCCUAACACAUGCAAGUCGAACGAGUGGCGGACGGGUGAGUAAUGUCUGGGAAACUGCCAAAUGGAGGGGGAUAACUACUGGAAACGGUAGCUAAUACAGCAUACCAUCAGAUGUGCCCAGAUGGGAUUAGCUAGGUGGUGGGGUAAAGGCUCACCAAGGAGACUAUCCCUAGCUGGGCUGAGAGGAUGACCAUCCACACUGGAACUGAUCCACGGUCCAGACUCCUACGGGAGGCAGCAGUGGGGAAUAUUGCACAAUGGGCGAAAGCCUGAUGCAGCCAUGCCGCGUGUAUGAAGAAGGCCUUCGGUUUGUAAAGUACUUUCAGCGGGGAGGCGUUACCCGCAGAAGAAGCACCGGCUAACUCCGUGCCAGCAGCCGCGGGAAUUC
rnacentral:rRNA from 1 species